CGUUGAAACAACGACUCUCGUACGAUCAGCGAAGUUAAGCAAUGUCGAGCAUGGUUUGUACCUAGAUGGGUGACCGCUUGGGAAUACCAGGUGCUA